rnacentral:lncRNA from 12 species
GCGCUCCGCCCCCGCCCCGACCCUGGGGGGCUCCACAUGAGGUCAGCAUCUGGGUCGCUUUGCCAGGGUCAGAAGACUGUUCUUCCAGGAAGGGCUGCAGAGACCCUGGGAACGGGACCAGCCCAGCUCACAAGUAUGAAGAGAAUGUCGGAGAGGAAGUGGUGGCUGUGAGUCAGCAUGAGUCAUCUCGUUCCAAUGAGAACCAAGACUGAGGUGUGCGCGCUUUUUUUUUCUGCUUUUUUUUUUUACUCUUUUUUUUUUAUUCUUUCUUUUUCCUUCUUUUUUUCUUUUUUCUUUUUUUUUUUUUACUUUCCUUUUUUUUUUUUGGUCUCAGUCAUGUGGACAUCAUUGGGAAUGGAGGGAAAGAGUGACUGCAUGGCUGGUGCUUGCUGAGCCGCGGGCUGGUAUUCCAGAAGGGCUGUGCCUGAGUCGGUGUCUGCUUCAGACCUUCGGGGCCCCGGCGGCGGGAAGGUGGAGUCAGCCGCUUGUCCCUGAUGUGCAAAGUAAGGAGCAAAAGGGGAAAAGACUUGGUUGUGGUGUGUGGCUGCCGGGAGCUUCCUCAUCCUUUAUGAGCUGGAUCUGUAAAGGAGACUGUCAGGCAGGAGAGGAAAGGUAGCAGAAGCAGUUUCUAGAUUCAUGAUUAAACCAGCACCGAUGGCAAUAGCUAAUGGCGAUGAAGUACUUGCAACCUGCUGAGCACCAUCCCAGGAACCUGACUCCAGUGCUCUCUAAUCCCCGAAGCAGUGCCUGGGGCGCAGGACAUGAGGGUCAUCCUGUAAAAUGGGAAGGCAAUGGGGCCUGUCGCCCUUGGAAGUUCCGCCUCAUUUCCUGGCACCGGGGGAGUGAUCCCAGUGUGCCGUGGCCCAGCCCUGGAUUAGCCCCAUUAGCAAAUCAGGUGCAGAGAAGGCCCAGCCUUCCAGCAGCAGCCUCCCUGCUUCAUCACAUUCCCUCCCUCAGCGACGCCUAUAAGGGCUGGUUUCCACACCUGUCAGGGACAGGCCCUGUGGGCGCAGAUGGCUGUGGUGCCUCCCUCGGGGGCUGUGGGCCUCCAGGACGGUGUGGACAGGCCCUGAAGACAUCCGAAGGCCUCUCAAGAGAUGGUGAUGGCAAAACUCUGUACUUAAGAGUUUUCGAAAGGAAGAAUUCCUGCCAGGCAUAA